GACGAACGCUGGCGGCGUGCUUAACACAUGCAAGUCGAACGGUGAACCUCUUCGGAGGGGAUCAGUGGCGAACGGGUGGGUAACACGUGGGCAACCUGCUCCCGGCUCUGGGAUAACUCCAAGAAAUUGGGGCUAAUACCGGAUGUUCACCGCUUCCCGCAUGGGUGGUGGUGCAAAGGGUUUCCGGCUGGGGCUGGGCCCGCGGCCGAACAGCUUGUUGGUGGGGUAGUGGCCUACCAAGGCGACGACGGGUAGCCGGCCUGGGAGGGUGGACGGCCACACUGGGACUGAGACACGGACCAGAGUCCUACGGUAGGCAGCAGUCGGGAGUAUUGCGCAAUGGGCGGAAGCCUGACGCAGCGAUGCCGCGUGGGGGAUGACGGCCUUCGGGGUGUAAACGUCUGUCAGCAGGGACGAAGCGGAAGUGACGGUACCUGCAGAAGAAGCACCGGCCAACUACGUG
rnacentral:rRNA from 1 species